GGCCCAAACCUGAAGUUGGGUAGAUUUGUAAGGUCAGCUGAUCUUACUAUUCUACUGUACUUCAAAACUGUGCAC
rnacentral:pre_miRNA from 1 species